CAUAGCAUGGGCCGUGCAUCACUCAGAC
rnacentral:piRNA from 1 species